GGUAUAUAUAAAUACGUAUGUCAUAGGUGCGCGAUCACACUAUACCGACGACGUCCGCGGGGGAUGACCUUCCGCGGACGUUCCCAAUUUUCAUCCGGGCGCCCGUUUUUCCGUCGCGGUUCUGUUCGAUGAUAUUCGCUCCGACGAAAUGUCGCAACACGCCGCCAAUAAUAAUAUUACGCCUCGUAAUAAUAAUAAUAAUAUAAUAUAUUAACAAUGCAAUAUUGUAGUAUCGCACACGUCUAAUGGUGUGUCUGAUGUACCAGCUACAUUCGUAUCGACCCUGAAACAGUCGGUGUGAUAUAGGUGGUGUGUAAAUGGCUGGAGCCGAUGACGAUAAUAUUAUAAUAUUAUGUUGUCCUUCGCGAGCCGUUUGCACGGAAAUGUGCUUUUCACGAUGAUCCGCGAAAGCCAGCCUAUACUAUGCGCGUGUCAAUAGUUUUUAGUGUCCAUCCGUCAUAAUAUGGCUAAGUACAUAUGAACAAUUUGUUUUAUAGGCCCGCAAGAGAUUGUCGAGAGCCGGAAGACUUCAUCGUCCAAGGACUAUCGCGGGUUAUCGACAAACGUAGUUUACAAUGAUCACAGUCAUACGGCGGACAGUAUUUCAAAAAUACACAAUUCAAUAGGUAUUAUCUUGAAUAAUAUUUAGCUGAGUGUUUUUUUUAAGUGUUUUGCAUCUUGUAUAUUUUAAAUACAAUAUAUUUGAUUCUCGAUGUAUGUAUUAUAAUGUCUUAGUACUAUUAGUAUUUUCGAUAACGAGUUAGUCCAAGUAAACAAUUUUAAAUUUUCACCUCAUCCAAUAGCCAUUAAAGAAAGGUUUCAUUUAUUCGUUUCAAUACAAUAUAGUUUGUGUUUCUCGGUCAUCGUUAAACGAAUGUCAUCAACAACCGGCUUCGACUUUCAUGCUUCAAAAUCUCAUAUUUUGUAUUUACCUAUAGGGUAGGUCCGUGCUAUUCUUUUGCGAUGGUUUCCUUUCGUCGGAAUUCGUAUACGACGAUUGAAGUCAUCCGUAAGAAAACCUCCAAAAUUCAAAUUUCAUCCAAAUUCAACGGUGUGUGGAAGGUGCUGACGAUGCGACGUGUACAUGCAACUUAUCCGGAGGCGCAAAAUUUUACGACCAAUGCGGACGCCCGACGGGUGCAAAACGUAACUACAAAGUCUUUAACCAUGGUUAGUGAACACCGUGUCGGGUGUAGCUUUCUAUACGAUUUGAGGCGCUCGGAGUUUACUGGCAGAACAAACCGAAUGUACCUACAGCCUACGUAUAGGUACGACGUCGUAAUAAUAUAAGUGAACCGGAAUCGUCGGUGCAACAGUGGGCACAUCGCAACGAAAAGAUUGACGUGUAUAAUUUAUUGAAAUUUUAUGUACGGGCAAUUAUAACAAUAUAUUAUUAUUAUUAUUCCGGGUGAUCCAUUUAUAACGAAGAACACUCAUAAUUUCAAAAACUAUUCACGUUUUUGAAAAUACAUAAUUUUAAGUCGUUAAUAAACAACAUUUUUCUAAAAAAAAAUAUUUUUACUAUUUUGUUUCGUUGUUAUUUUUAAAUUGUUAGGUUUUUUUAUGACAACGUGCAACUCCUUAUU